rnacentral:rRNA from 1 species
AUUGAACGCUGGCGGCAUGCCUAACACAUGCAAGUCGAACGGCAGCAUGACGUGUAGCAAUACACGUUGAUGGCGAGUGGCGGACGGGUGAGAAACGCGUGGGAAUCUGCCCUCAAGAUCGGGAUAACCCGAGGAAACUCGGGCUAAUACCGGAUAAGCUCGAAAGAGAAAAGGCUGGGUCGCAAGACCUGGAGCUUGAGGAGGAGCCUGCGUCCGAUUAGCUAGUUGGUUAGGUAAAAGCUGACCAAGGCGAUGAUCGGUAGCUGGUCUGAGAGGAUGAUCAGCCACACUGGGACUGAGACACGGCCCAGACUCCUACGGGAGGCAGCAGUGGGGAAUAUUGGACAAUGGGGGCAACCCUGAUCCAGCAAUGCCGCGUGUGUGAAGAAGGCCUUCGGGUUGUAAAGCACUUUAGGCUGGGAGGAAGUUAUGCAUUUUAAGAGAUAGCAUAAUUGACUGUACCAGAAGAAUAAGCACCGGCUAACUCUGUGCCAGCAGCCGCCGUAA